GACGAACGCUGGCGGCGUGCCUAAUACAUGCAAGUAGAACGCACAGUUUAUACCGUAGCUUGCUACACCAUAAACUGUGAGUUGCGAACGGGUGAGUAACGCGUAGGUAACCUGCCUGGUAGCGGGGGAUAACUAUUGGAAACGAUAGCUAAUACCGCAUAAUAUUAAUUAUUGCAUGAUAAUUGAUUGAAAGAUGCAAUUGCAUCACUACCAGAUGGACCUGCGUUGUAUUAGCUAGUAGGUGAGGUAACGGCUCACCUAGGCGACGAUACAUAGCCGACCUGAGAGGGUGAUCGGCCAAACUGGGACUGAGACACGGCCCAGACUCCUACGGGAGGCAGCAGUAGGGAAUCUUCGGCAAUGGACGAAAGUCUGACCGAGCAACGCCGCGUGAGUGAAGAAGGUUUUCGGAUCGUAAAGCUCUGUUGUAAGAGAAGAACGGAUGUGAGAGUGGAAAGUUCACACUGUGACGGUAUCUUACCAGAAAGAGACGGCUAACUACGUG
rnacentral:rRNA from 1 species